UACGUAGGCAGCAAGCGUUGUUCGGAAUUACUGGGCGUAAAGCGCACGUAGGCGGCUUCUUAAGUCGGUGGUGAAAUCCUGGAGCUCAACUCCAGAACUGCCUUCGAUACUGGGAAGCUCGAGUCCGGGAGAGGUGAGUGGAACUGCGAGUGUAGAGGUGAAAUUCGUAGAUAUUCGCAAGAACACCAGUGGCGAAGGCGGCUCACUGGCCCGAUACUGACGCUGAGGCACGAAAGCGUGGGGGAGCCAAACAGGG
rnacentral:rRNA from 1 species